rnacentral:rRNA from 1 species
CAGCCGCCACGGUAAAACGAAGGGGGCUAGCGUUGUUCGGAAUCACUGGGCGUAAAGGGUGCGUAGGCGGAUUCUUAAGUCAGGGGUGAAAUCCCGAGGCUCAACCUCGGAACUGCCUUUGAUACUGGGGAUCUUGAGUCCGGAAGAGGUGAGUGGAACUGCGAGUGUAGAGGUGAAAUUCGUAGAUAUUCGCAAGAACACCGGUGGCGAAGGCGGCUCACUGGUCCGGAACUGACGCUGAGGCACGACAGCGUGGGGAGCAAACAGGAUUAGAUACCCCGGUAGUCCCUGUCUCUUAUAC